GACGAACGCUGGCGGCGUGCUUAACACAUGCAAGUCGAACGGAAAGGCCCUGCUUUUGUGGGGUGCUCGAGUGGCGAACGGGUGAGUAACACGUGAGUAACCUGCCCUUGACUUUGGGAUAACUUCAGGAAACUGGGGCUAAUACCGGAUAGGAGCUCCCGCUGCAUGGUGGGGGUUGGAAAGUUUCGGCGGUUGGGGAUGGACUCGCGGCUUAUCAGCUUGUUGGUGGGGUAGUGGCUUACCAAGGCUUUGACGGGUAGCCGGCCUGAGAGGGUGACCGGCCACAUUGGGACUGAGAUACGGCCCAGACUCCUACGGGAGGCAGCAGUGGGGAAUAUUGCACAAUGGGCGGAAGCCUGAUGCAGCAACGCCGCGUGCGGGAUGACGGCCUUCGGGUUGUAAACCGCUUUCACCUGUGACGAAGCGUGAGUGACGGUAAUGGGUAAAGAAGCACCGGCUAACUACGUG
rnacentral:rRNA from 1 species